AGGACGAACGCUGGCGGCGUGCUUAACACAUGCAAGUCGAGCGGAAAGGCCCUUCGGGGUACUCGAGCGGCGAACGGGUGAGUAACACGUGAGUAACCUGCCUCUGACUUUGGGAUAACCCUCGGAAACGGGGGCUAAUACCGGGUAUUCAUGUCCUGCGGCAUCGUGGGUGUGGAAAGCUUUUGCGGUCAGGGAUGGGCUCGCGGCCUAUCAGCUUGUUGGUGGGUGAUGGCCUACCAAGGCGACG
rnacentral:rRNA from 1 species